GAAAAGUCCUAGCCCACAAGAUGCUGUGAAGACCAUUUCUUUCUCAAAUCCUCAUUUUCCAAGGAACUUUUUGAAGAUAACCAUCCUAUCACAACUAAGGUUGGCUGGAACUGAAGAAGAGUUGCUCCACGGAUGUGGGACAUGCUUCUUAUCAUCCCCACAACUCUAACCACCCCUCUUGUCUCCCAGCUCUACAGCCAAAUUUCAGUUGUGACUACGCAUCAAGCCUGCACUAUUAUUUUGUUGUGUUGGUUAAUGUCUCUAUCAUAAGUGAGAGAAUGUGAGAUGAAUUAAGAAGCUUUGGGUUUCAAGAAAAUUUCUGAAAACUAUAUUCUCGUGCACUUGACAAAUAUUCUUUCAUGUUUAAUAAGAAAAUACAUCAUGUCUGUGAUGAUGGAUUAGAAUAUGAAGCAUCAAUCAUCAAACAAAUCACAAAUCCACUGAACCACCUCACUUAUAUUUAUGAGCUGCCUACAUCAUGUAGUGGCUUGAAAUGAUCUCCUCUGACUUCAAAUACUUUAUAAGCCAGCAGAAUUUGAGUUGGUUUUUAUAUGCUGGGCAAAUGCUUAAAUCAGUGUUGUCUAACUUCUGAAUAUGCAACAGAAUGAACAAUGGGUCAUUUUAGGACAUACAAAUAAACCAAAAAAUAAUUAAUUACUUAAAUAAAAAAACAGAUGAUUAAAUUCCUCCUAAG
rnacentral:lncRNA from 10 species